rnacentral:lncRNA from 1 species
CUAAAUGACCUCAAAACAGGCAAACAGCUUCAAAGGUAAUCAAACUUCUUAGCAUAAGAGGAUCAGAGCAUCAAUUUAAAGAUCAAGUGCAUAAGCAAGCCAAAGAAACUCCUAGACAAAUCCCACCAACAAAACCACAGGUGGAGGAAAACCUAAGAGUCUGUCUAUCAUAUUAGAAGCUGACAUAAAUUAAACAGUCUGAAUAAGACUAAUACAAAAUAAAGCAGCAUCUAGAAACAAAUUAUUAAACCAAAUCAGGAAAAAAUUGAAGGUAUGUACAGAAUGCUAUUUUGAUAUUUAGUUCACUGCUUGUCCGUAAUGGAAAUACUAUUAACAAAGGAUUCUAAAAACAUGAAGGCAAAUAGCCAAAAGCUAAAAAGCAACCUCUUCUUGGCCUAAUUGAUACUCUUCAUCAUCAAACCCAACCGGAGGAAGACCAUCCUCUUCAUCUUCCAACCCACCCAGUUCAACUUCUUCGACUACAUCAUUACCAAAGAACGCAUAUUGUGAUGCAUCAAAUACUUCCUCCGCUGUAACAUCAAAAAGGAAAGACUACAUCAUUACCAAAGAAUGCAUAUUGUGAUGCAUCAAAUACUUCCUCCGCUGUAACAUCAAAAAGGAAAGCCAAAUUUUAGAACUAAACCAUGAACUCUAGCAAACAAAUCCACCAUAAAAUGAAUUCCUCAGACACAGAACUAAUGCAGAGUGACCAAGCAAGCCAUGGACCUCAUACUGUCUGCAGCCUACAAAUAUUACACCAGCACUCCCUUAUACUAGGAAUGAACAAGACUGACAACAAUGAAUUAAUGUGAAAGGCCAUUUGAACACCAAGAGAGUAAGAUAGAAGAGUGAAGCUUAAAUCCCACACAAACUAUCACAAUAAAUCAAUUCUAGUAAUAAAAACACUCUUAACAAUAUAUUUUCAGUUUUGUCUUUACAGAAUAGUCAAGGUGAAUUUAAGGUAGCCCAAUACUACCAUUUUCACAAAAAACAAUUUAACUAUUUUAAUAAGGCAGGGUAGGUUUUGCUUUUAACUUCUUUAAUUUCAAAUCCAUCAUAUGGAAUUAUGGCUUAUUUUAUUGAUGAAAAUAAAUCUUGAAUAAACUCAAGAAGCAAAGCUUACAAAUAAACAAGGAUCUAAGCAGAGCAAAUUUUGAAGCUCAAGAAUUAUACA